ensembl:processed_transcript
AUUCCUACUCUGCAAGGUCGGACACUUUAAUAGUAGUAACUGGGGAGCGAUUGCGUUCAGGGAGAUCGAGGACAAGUAUCCUGGCCAGAUCCUGACAUGUUCUCCCGGUAAGAGUUCUCUGCGUUGGCCACCUUUGGAGGCUGUAUUAUUGAUGGAAGAGGGCCCUCGGGAACCUAUCCAAAAGUAUUGUCAUGGGAGUAGGUGUGUGUGGGUUCCAGGAAGAGCGAGGACAGACGGCGCACUACCACUGUCCGAUGAAUGUUCUCAUCACCGACCUUUGGAGUUUUUCAGCAUGUUGGAUUUUUAAACAUGUUCAGGUUGGAAAAUUGAAAGUGUAAUGUUAACAGUAAAGUUUGACCUUUUAAGCUAGUGGAGGAAGUUCAGACCACAGCUGACCUGGUACCUUAGAUGACAGCACUGAAUCUGAAGACAAAGAAGUAUCAACUUAGAACUGACUAUUAUUAGUCACUACUUCAGAAAGUAUUUUUACCUUAUUUUGGUAUGUUUAGUUAGUACUAUGAUUUGUAUGACUUUUCCAUGUGUUUGAAAAGUAACAGAAGCUAAAGGCCAUUGUACAACUUGGUAGCAGUCCCGUUUUACGUUGCAUUUGGUUUGCCAUUCUGUAGCUGUGACUCCAGCUUGCUUUAGUUGAGCCUUGUCAUUCUUCACUCUCUGCAAACCAUUCCACGGAUUUGUUUUCCUUCACAAAAGUAGUUUCAUUUUCUUUAUUUGAUUGAUGGUCAUUGGCUACUGAAAUAAAAUAUGCAUUUUAAGGU